rnacentral:rRNA from 1 species
UGCAGAGGGGGCAAGCGUUAUUCGGAAUUAUUGGGCGUAAAGGGCGCGUAGGCGGCCUGGCAAGUGGAAGGUGAAAUCCCUCGGCUUAACCGAGGAACUGCCCUCCAAACUGCUUGGCUUGAGUCCGGGAGAGGUGAGUGGAAUUCCCAGUGUAGCGGUGAAAUGCGUAGAUAUUGGGAGGAACACCAGCGGCGAAGGCGGCUCACUGGACCGGAACUGACGCUGAGGCGCGAAAGCGUGGGGAGCGAUCCGG